rnacentral:lncRNA from 1 species
UGAAAUAUUAUUAAAAUUUAGUAGAGAAAUUCCUACGAUUUGAUGCCUUAGAUCCACCUAUUCAAUAAGCUGGUCUUGGUCUAGUCUUGUUUUCAAAAACAUAGAUUCCCUCCAACUUACAAGUAAUCUUUGCAAGAACAACACAUGGCCUAGCUGAGAGCCUUGACAAUUUUACCAAUUACGGGUGGUAAAGUGGGCUAGCCUGGUCAGUUUUGGUUUGCCACACCACUAGCCCGCCAAAAACGGGUCAUGCACGGGCUGACCCGCCUUUUAAUAGUGGGUUGAAAAUCUUGACUUACUCCGGUUAGAGGUGGACUCGCAUGUUAGUGAGUUGGUCUGCCAGAAAUAAAAAGAAAAAAGAAAGUAUUAUUAUCUUAUUUCAUAAAAUUAACCCAAAUGAACAAAUUUAGUUAGAGAAUGUAAAGUAUAUCAAUUGUUUAUCCUAUAUUUGAUUUUAAUAUAAAUUUUUCUAUAGGUAUUGGAGAAAUUGAAUUUAUAAAAAAUAUUAAAAAAAUAACAAAAAUGUAUUUUGAUUUUUGAACAACACUAUAAACUUUUAAAAAAAUACAAAGUGACAACCCAAAGCCUAAAUACCUAUUAGUAUUUAUAUAUUUUUCUUAAAAAUAUAUGUAUGGCAAGCCGGCAUGCCAACCUGCCUCACCUUGUUGUUGGCAUGUCGGGUUGGCAGGUUAGGCGGCAUGGGGACAAUGUGGGCUGUCAAGUUGACCUUUUCUCUCCGAUAGCCUCACCACUAUUGUCUUUUACCACUCAAUUUCACCUUAUGAGUUCUUAAACAAUAAUCUUUAAGGAUGGUUCCAUUCAACAAGAAACAAUAGAGAAUGGUGAUAUGAUAAUUGAUGCGUAAAAUAUGUUAGGUUUGCACAAGGAAAAAUGUACCCUACGUCAUUGUGGACUUGAAAGUCUGAAUAUCGAACUCAAAGGAUUUAGUUGUUUCCAAAUUAGUCAAGUUUAUUAAAUUAAAGUAGAGAUGAUUAAACAUAAUAUUUCAAUAUUUUAUGGUUUUUAUUUUUAUAAGAAAACAAAUAAACGAAUAUAAAGAGAGGUUUGAGUGAUGAUAAGAAUGAUAAGGAGUUAUGACUCAAUAGUACCAAUUUUCUCUCAAUCCUAAUCCUAAUGAAAUUUCUUUCCCAGGUAAUUACCGAUUUCCAAAAUCAAUUAAAGCUUAUGAUCAAAGUUAGAAGAUAUUCUUUGUCUUAAAUCAAUACCCCAAUGAUAGUGGAUCUAUCACUUUUAAGUCAAAUGAUAAAUUCAAUUCUAUGAUGAUUAAUUAAAGAUUAACUAAUCUAUCAGAGAUUAUCCAAAUAGUUUGAUCUUACAAUUUGGUGCAAAACAUUAUCUACCUAGACCUACCAAUUACAUGCAGAUUGAGUAUUAGAAUGAUUGGUUCCAAAUAAAUAGUAAAAUAAGGAAGAAAGUUGAUUAACAAAAAAAAUGGAAUUACAUUAAGAAUAAGGAGAAUUAAUAGUUACAUCAUAACCUCGGACUAGGGGACUAGCCGCUCAUGAUUAGAGCAACACUAACAAUCCUAUAUAAAAUAAAUAUAAACAUACCAAUAGGCAAGAACGAUUGUCACAAUCCAUCCUAGUGGUGUUAUCCAUGCUUUUCAGAUCUCAAAAGCUCUGAAGGUUCUCUCAAAUUCAAAAAAAGAAAAGAAAAGAAUAAAACU